rnacentral:rRNA from 1 species
UACGGGGGGGGGCAAGCGUUGUUCGGAAUUACUGGGCGUAAAGGGCUUGUAGGUGGCCAACUAAGUCAGACGUGAAAUCCCUCGGCUUAACCGGGGAACUGCGUCUGAUACUGGAUGGCUAGAGUGUGGGAGAGGGAUGCGGAAUUCCAGGUGUAGCGGUGAAAUGCGUAGAUAUCUGGAGGAACACCGGUGGCGAAGGCGGCGUCCUGGACCAACACUGACACUGAUGAGCGAAAGCCAGGGGAGCAAACGGG